UCUAACGGCAACAGACCACGGCUAAGCUUCUCUUUUUUUUUUACCUGUCGCACUGUGUUUUUAAGCCAGCACAGCCUUUUUACCACAUUCACUCGUUCAGCAAAUAAAUAGGCGACAAAAGGAA